AAUGGAUUCAUGUUGAGUUCUCUGUUUCAUUAUUAGUUUGCAGUUGCAAAGUAGAGUAGUCACUGUAUCAAUUCACCGAAAACCGAGUCUCCCUAUUCACCAAGAUCCUUCCUUUACCAAAAGAUAGAUUUUUUGCAGUGAUCUUGCAUAUUUUGUGUCUGUACAUAGCUGGAAUCUUGGAAUGGAGAUUGCUAGCUCCUUCUGACCCGGCCAUAGUA